GGCGCUGCCAUGGGCCCCCGAGGAAGGCGCUGUUUCCUCCUGUGGAUGGACGACGGCCCAGUCCGGUUUCCUCCCUGGCUCCGAUCUGUCCUGCAGUUUCUUCGGGCCUGGGAGCUCAGUAUUGUCACAGGGCUAUGCACAGAAGUAGACAGAAGAUAAAGAGUGGGCCCAUCCCGCCAAGGAACCCAUCCAGGCACAUUGCUUUUCAUUGUUGUCUCCUCAGCCUCGUCUUGGCUGUGACAGUUUCUCACGUUUUCCUUGUUUCUGACGGAGUUUCCCUGCGAGGAGGCUGGCAGACUGGCAGAGCGGGCCUGGCGCUCGUGUCGUGGUUCCAUUGGCGCCACCGGCCUGGGAGGAAGCCCACAGCCACGAAGUCCUUCUCAUCACGUCCUGUCAGGGGCCAGGCGCCCCAUGACUCAUCACUCAGUGUGAACCCUGGUCCUCAGGCUGGGGUGCCAUUCCCAUUUCUCGACUGUGAUGUUCACUGCACCUCCUUGCACUGUACUUUGGAAGCAAGUUCCCAGGUGCCAUCCAGACUUAGAGGAGUUAUGUUCCCACUCCUUGAGGGGCCAUCUACACAAAUUCUAAGUCUCUGUACAAGAGAGUUGUCUCUCCUGCCUACUCAUCUACUUAGUCAAUUGUUUAGAUCAGUG
rnacentral:lncRNA from 1 species